rnacentral:lncRNA from 1 species
AUGCAAGAGCAUGCGCGCGCGCGCACACACACACACACACACACACACACACACACACACACAACUAUACACUCUGGCUCCCAGCCUGUGGGCCCAAGCCUUGCAGACCCCAUCGGCCCUCUUUUCUGGAGUGGGAAGGGAAAAUCCCCACCUAGCUUGCCUGGCCUCCCUAACUUAGAGCAUCCAGUUCAGUGGCUGGGUUGGUACUUUGGGAAAGAGGCAUGUUUUUUUCCCUCCCCCACCAGAGUCACAGUCCCCCUCCACAUACACCUGCGAACACCCUCCCCCCAACACGCUCGGAGCCCCGUGGAACGGCACUUCCUGCCUCCUAUGAAAACUAGAACCUGCACACACAGCCGGGACCCCCAGCGCGUGCAAACAGCGCCCGCGCAAUCUUCCAGCGUGCCGCCUUGGCCGCGCUACCCACUCACCGCGGCGCCCGGACUGGCUGACCCGGGAUCCGGAAGGUGCCGCGAGGAGAGCGGAGGCGCGGUGAACGCCACUUCUGAGCGGGCUUCGGGAAGACCGGUGCGCCCUGGAUACCCCACUCCCCACAUCGCCCCCGAGUCCCAUGGCCAGCGCGGGGUCUCGGAGCGGGCCAGAGAACAUGCCCCCCAACCUGGGCCUGGGCCUGUUCGGUCUUUCUCUCUCUCUCUUUUUCCAUGAGAAAGGCCAGGCUCGUCCCCAGUCCCCAUGUAUGACAAAGGAAACCGGGGACGCCUCCCGGGAGUCCCGGGAACCUCUCUGUCGCAGCUCCAGGGCGCUGACCCCAGGGGCGCGCGGGUGGGAGAGUCCAAAACGGCGGGCUGGGCUGGGGAAGAGGAGGCAGGCAGAGCGCGCGAUCCUCGCCUUGAGCAACUUUUGCAAGUUCCGUGGAUGGAGAAGGGGGCAGAGGUCCCCCACCUCCCCACUAGGCCUUGGAACCCUGACCCCCACCCCCAAAUAUGUGUGAGGCGAGAGAAGACAGAGGCAGUUUUCAGAUCGCGCGGCCCUCCCAGCCCCCAGCCCCAAACUGGAAGGUAAAUACUUACUUUGCCUCCGAACCAGGUACAAGCUAAUACUCAACAAUACUGAUGCCUUGUUUUUUUUGCUCUGUCCGGACCGCAACGCUGUAGCCAAUUUAGAUAUGCUAUAAAUUUAAGAGGUUGCCAUGGCCACCGCGAGCCCAUUGGCCGCCGGGCCCCCUACGUGCCUCGCCACGUCACCAAAUCUGAAUAAGGAUGCGCGAAUUAGGCGGCGGCCAGACAAAGAUGAGGAUCGGGACCGCUUGAAAGUGGGGGAAAGUGCCGGCGCCUCCGCCACCGGGGAAAGCCGCUCGGUAGAGCCGAGGCCAGCAGCCACCGAAGAUUUACUGGGGCGCGCGGCCCGGGGCAUGAGACUGUGAACGCCACCAGUCCCCACCCCACCGCGGGCAGCCUAGCGCCAGGCCCAGAAAUCACCCGAGGACUUGACUGGCUGAGUCUUGGUUCGGACCGGACUCGCCCGGCGGCGGCCAAGAAGAGAGGCAGAGAACAGCGGCGGGGCCGGGGGCCCGAGGGCCGGGGGCCCAAAGGGAGGUCGAGGCGGCCCG